AUCCAGCUGAGGAGUCCCAAAUAGGACGAAACGUGCAUCCUGGCU
rfam:Schistosoma rodhaini strain Burundi genome assembly, scaffold: SROB_scaffold0004778